GACAGAGGGGGCAAGCGUUGCUCGGAAUUACUGGGCGUAAAGGGCGCGUAGGCGGGAUGGCAAGUCGGUCGUUAAAUCCCUCGGCUCAACCGAGGAACGUCGAUCGAUACCGCUGUUCUUGAGGAUUGCAGAGGAGACUGGAAUUCCCGGUGUAGCGGUGAAAUGUGUAGAGAUCGGGAGGAACACCGGUGGCGAAGGCGGGUCUCUGGGCAAUUCCUGACGCUGAGGCGCGAAAGCGUGGGGAGCAAACGGG
rnacentral:rRNA from 1 species